rnacentral:rRNA from 1 species
CGAAGGGGGCUAGCGUUACUCGGUAUGACUGGGCGUAAAGGGCGCGUAGGCGGUUUGCUUAGUUAGGCGUGAAAUUCCUGGGCUCAACCUGGGGGCUGCGCUUAAUACAGGCAGACUAGAGUGUGAAAGAGGGUCGUGGAAUUUCCAGUGUAGAGGUGAAAUUCGUAGAUAUUGGAAAGAACACCGGUGGCGAAGGCGGCGACCUGGUUCAUUACUGACGCUGAGGCGCGAAAGCGUGGGGAGCAAACAGGAUUAGAUACCCUGGUAGUCCACGCCGUAAACGAUGUGUGCUGGAUGUUAGGCAACCUAGUUGCUUAGUGUCGUAGCUAACGCGGUAAGCACACCGCCUGGGGAGUACGGCCGCAAGGUUG